UACAGAGGUCUCAAGCGUUGUUCGGAUUCAUUGGGCGUAAAGGGUGCGUAGGCGGCGCGGUAAGUCGGGGUGUGAAAUCUUGGAGCUUAACUCCGAAACUGCAUUCGAUACUGCCGUGCUUGAGGACUGGAGAGGAGACUGGAAUUUACGGUGUAGCGGUGAAAUGCGUAGAUAUCGUAAGGAAGACCAGUGGCGAAGGCGGGUCUCUGGACAGUUCCUGACGCUGAGGCACGAAGGCCCAGGGGGAGCAAACGGGG
rnacentral:rRNA from 1 species